GGGGGUUUAGCUCAGCGGCAUAAGCGCCUGCCUUGAAAGCAGGCAGUCCUGAGUUCGAUCCCCAGUACCGAUA
rnacentral:tRNA from 1 species